UUCUUACUGUUUCAUUUAAGUUUCUAAAAACUUCUUUGAACUUGUGUCAUUGAGUCAAUUGAGCUGUUUUUCUUUUCAGUUGGUUGAAGAAUUUAAGGCCUGUUUAUGGCUACUACAGAUGCGAGAAUCUAGAGUACAGUAAAUGUAUCAUGUGGCAAUUUUUUGUAUUGUACAAAUGAACAUUAUUUCUUAGUCUGUAUUUUCUUUAGCAUAAAUUAGACAGCUGUAGAAGUAAAGGCUGAAGAAUGUUGUUAUGUGAAGUGCUCUAAACUGACUUCUUCAAAUCUCUCUGGGAGGCAGACCCAGAAUACAUGGAACAGCUUUCUUCUGGCAUUGAGAGCUGUAAGCUCACUCUGGUGCAUUUCCCCACAACAGUAUUCUACGUUGUUGGUGUGAGUGGAAGAACGCAUAUUAAGAGUAAAGUAGGAGAUUCUUACUGACAUUUUGUCUUAAUUUAUGGAGCAAAAGUAAAACUCUUGCCAGUGUGCUGCUUAAGUAAUUUGUGUGUCCAUCCCAUGUCAGUCUUGUAUCAGUCACUAGUUGAAGUAAUUUCACAUUCUUAUUCUCAGACCUAAUUGCUCUGAGACUGCAAUGAAGUUCUUCUGUUUUUGUUUUGCGAAUGGAUGGAUAGCCGGUUGGCCAGAGGCCAGUGAUUAGUCAACUCGUUUAUUUCUCUGUUAUAAUUUUGAAUAUCUUGAUAGUUUUCGCCUUUUGUUAGCACUGUGAUGUCUUCAGAUUACAGCACAUACUCACCUAGUACGUGACUUAAAAAAUUAUCUGUAUACACAAUGAAGAGACAGGAUCCAAGAGCUGCCCCCAGUGAUGUUCCACAUUUCAUUUUCAACAACUGUGAUGCCUGAUUAUUUGCAUAUACUAACUGUAGCCUGUCAGGUCCCAUCAAGAAGGAUCCUGAUCCUGCAGUUAGCUUCCUGGAUAAAAGUUUAAUGGAACAAGUCAAUAUAACACAAUAUUUGAUUAACAGCCAUCACACUGUGUAUAAUGCAUAUUGCACAGCUGUAAGAAACUUAUCAAAAAAUUAUCAACCUGUUACACUUGAAAAUACAAUGCAGUUUAUAAAGCACAGCAAGAAGAAGAAAAGGAAAAAAAUGGCUUCUCCAUGAAGUGAAACUCAUUUUUUACUGUGUAUGUUUGUUGACGUCAGUAUUGACAUUUUUUUGUAACCUAAUGGCAAUAUUAAAAAUGUAUCCAUACAAGUAAUCUAUAAAAUAUUCAUUAAUGAUGGUCUGAGGCACAGGGUGGUACCUACAACAGUUGUCAGCUAGGGAUUUUAAAAAUUUUGUUGUCCGUAAAUUAAUAUAUUCUACAGCUGUAGGCAGCAGCUCAUGUCUUUUUACUAAUCAGAAUUCAAAUGAAUUGCAAACUUGAACUGUAAAAUUUGUGGUUUAUAACAUAGAGAGGUGAAUUUUUUUUAUUUUUUUAGGCAUAUUUAUCAAGUGAACAGCUUUCAGGAGGUCUUUUUAUGAUGAGUGUGUUGAUUUCUGUGUGACUUACUUAAUACCUUGACAGUACUAAUUGAGCAAAAAGAAAUUAAAGAUGUAAAGAGUUGUAUAAGAAAAGAAAACAUAGUCAAAUUCUUUUUAGAACAGAGUAUUCUCUAGACCUGUAUUAAGACGCAACAGCUCAUGUCAUUAUGAACCACUUACAGUUGGAGCAGAAUGCAAUGAUGUUAUUUAUUGGAGAUGCUUCACAGGGAUUAAGGUCAGAACUGGCUAAACAUUUGUCAUGAAAGUAAGUCAAAUUCCAUGAAAGAGCAUUUUGUAUCCAAUUUUUAAACCAUGGGAUUCCUCAAUUGAAGUCCAUCAUGUCAUUGCUGUGCUAUCUUGCUUUGUCUUUUAUGGAUAAGUGGGAUAGCAGUAAAAAAUUGUAUUUGAUUAUUAACUUAGUUUUUAAUUCUGUGAAAACAAACACAAUUCUUUUGACACACAUGGCGUUAUUUGUAUUGUGAUGUUACUGCUGUCAUCAUAUUCAUGUAUUAUUUCAUUAUAA